rnacentral:rRNA from 1 species
CCGCCCGUCACACCACGAAAGCCCGCUGCAACAGAAGUCAGUGAUCUAACCCGCAAGGGAUGAGCUGCCAAAGUUGUGGUUGGUGAUUGGGGUG